rnacentral:tRNA from 1 species
GCGGGCCCUGCUGGAGGCACGGGCGGCCGAGGGCUGACGGCCCCCGCGCGCAGGCCCCUCGGCGGGCCCCGCGGUCACGGCGCCGUGCCCGCC